rnacentral:lncRNA from 1 species
AGUGGCUCCUGAUUGUGCCCAGCCAGACUGCGGCAUUUCGCCUAGCCGUCUCCUUGCAAAAUUCCUCAUUGGCAACCAGAGAGUGUGAAACCACAGACUUGAAAGAGUUCAUUGGUGGAGGUGACAUUCCCUUAUCAAUGCAAAAAGGGAACCCAGAGGUUUGGAAACUGGAAGAGAAGGCCACCCACCUCUGCAUGUAGGAUGAGUACAUCAAAGAAGAUGCAGAGCAUUUGAGGGAGGGGAAGAAAAAAUGAAUGAUAAUUGUAUUACCUUCGUUGCUAUUCACACUUUUGCAUAUUUCCUUCUUUUUUUUUUAAAUCUCCUCAUGGGCAAUGUUAACACAAUCAAGAUGUGCAUACAAAUUCAUAUCAUUUUUCACUUAAUUAAGCAGCAUAAAAUAAGUUAUUACACUUUAUAUUCCUGGAAUGCACAGGGUGCUGUGAUACAUUAUCACCAUGGUUUCAGACCUUCCAUAAAGUGUAUUAUACACGACAUGCCACAAGGAAGUGAGGCUUUAAGAAAAGAGGCUGUUUAAACAGAUUGGGGAUCAGUAAAGGGAGGAGAGGGAUCUUGGGAGGUGAGACCCCAGUGUGGGGAGGAUCCAGCUGAAACAGAAACAGAAGGAGAAAUAACUGUGUUAUGUAAGCAAGCCCCUAGAGAGUUUGGGAAACUUUUGUCUCUCCACUGAAUGCAAGAUUGGGGACUCAAUUUUAUGUUAUCACAAGAUGGAACAAGUGUACCUCCUGAGAUCCUUUUAAAACCAUCAGCAUGUAUAAGACUUGCCCUUCAUAAAAAGAAGUAAAAAUAGGAUGUUUGAUGGGUUAUAAUAAUAGGUUUUGAUGCUAUUUGAUCAAGUUUUUUUCUCUUUUAAAAGCAUCUUUUCCAGAAGUCACCUUUUUCCAAGGUUAAGAACUUCUUUUUUCUUUUUCUUUACUAAGGAGGGGAUAAAUGUAAUCCAUUAUUAAAGAGGGAAACACUGGUAUUUACAUUUACACUAGCCUCCCCCAAUACAAAUACUUUUUAAUAAUCUGUUCACUUUGUAACAUUUUAUGUUUCUCCCUCCCAGAAAUUUUGUGUUUCAGGUGCUUAAAUACAACCAGAUAUUCACUGAAGGCAUGUCUUAAGUGACCUCUAGAUUAAGGUACUCCUUUUGUGACCUUGUACAGGUUUCUUUGUUCCCUUAUUAUUAAAAUUUUUUUGGGGGGGGAGGAUACCAGGGAUUGAACUCUGGAGCACUGGGUUAUUAAGCCAUAUACUCAGCCCUAUUUUGUAUUUUACUUAUAGAUAGGGUCUCACUGAGUUGCUUAGUGCCUUGCUUUUGCUGAGGCUGACUUUGAACUCGAAAUCCUCCUGCCUCAGCCUCUUGAGUCAAUGAGAUUACAGGCUUGUGCCACCUCGAGCUCCCUUAUUAUUUUAAAUGUCUCCCUUCUCCACACCCACCCCACCCCACCUCUGAUUUUGUUUCUGAGGAUUGAACCUAGGGCAUCACGAGGCAAGAGCCCUUCUACUGAGCUAUAUCCCCAACCUGAAAUGUUUUACUUUUUUCUUUGCACUUUUGUAUUACCAUCUGUUCCAGGAAGGGAUGGGUAAAUGCAUUUUCCUAAAUUCUAUUCUAAGUUUUCUAUUCACCAGAUGCUGCCAUCAAAUUCCACCUUCUCCAAGGACUGCAAUGGGGCUACAAGGAAAACGGAUAAACUUUCUUCUUCUUAUCACAUAUGACCUGCAGAAAUCAGUGCCACUAUAUAUGAUUGCUUUUGCUUUGUUCUCUGACACCUUUAAAAAACAGGGGGAGAGAAACUGCUAAUGAACUAUUUCUUCUGAAGAAAUUCAGCCAUAUGUGUCUUUAACCACCUAAAAUCCCUUCUUCCCUAUAAAUGGUGGAAGUAUCUGAAAAGACACAAUGAAAUUAGAAACUUUGAAUUGAUGUAAUGAAGCAGCUGGGAUUAAUGAGAGGAUGGAUUCUGCCUGCAGUUGAGAAGCUGCUUCCAUUACCUAGUAUUCAUUUAAUGAAAGGAAAGAAUACGUGUUUGGAAUUUUUUCUUCUGACACUGCAGAUUUUAUAAGUUACUUAGUCUUACUACUAAAUAUUCAAGUCUUAUAAAUAAAUAAAAACCUUUC